AAAAUCCAAGAAUUUCACCUCUAACCCCGCAAUACGAAUGCCCCCGGCCGUCCCUCUUAAUCAUUACCUCGAGUUCCGGAGGCCAACAAAAUAGAACCGAGGUCCUAUUCCAUUAUUCCAUGCACCAUUAUUCAGGCGUGUGAGCCUGCUUUGAACACUCUAAUUUUUUCAAAGUAAAUUGGGCAGGCGCAACAAGCGACCCAGUCAAGGGCACCCGCUGCCUCCCGCCAGUUAGGAGCCGACAGCAGUAAGCAGGCAUGGACCUGAACCGCCGCCGGCAGCCUGAGAUCCAACUACGAGCUUUUUAACUGCAACAACUUUAAUAUACGCUACUGGAGCUGGAAUUACCGCCC
rnacentral:misc_RNA from 1 species